rnacentral:sRNA from 1 species
GCUAGCUAUGUUUACAGCAUAACGUAUUGAUGUGGUGAAUCCCCCUAUGCGGAGGGGCGACCAGUCAGUUACAGAAACCUGUAAAUGCAGCGCGGGCCAUGCCGACUGGGGCAUGCUCACCGGGAGGCACCCGGCACCACACUGCCACUAAACAUAUUUAAGAUUCAUGUUGGGUUUACUGUUUACAGUUACCCUUCUAUGUUU